CAUAUGGGUAUAUUACAGUAAUGUAUGUUGAAUCUUGCACCUUUAGAUAUUAAGUAUUGAACCUGAAUGCUAAAAGAAUAUAUUAAUGUAUUAUAUUUAUGUACUAGUAGGUAAGUAAAUAUUCCUAAAUAUUAUAUUAUGCCUUCUUUCUUUUGGAAAGAAAGCCAGUUUUCCUUACUUGAGGAACUUCACCACUGAUAAACUUAAUUUCUCUUUGAAGUUAUAUACAAAAGUUGUAAACUUUACUGCAUUUUUAUAGAGUAAGUUCUUGUCAAUCUUCUAAAGUUUGUCCUCCAGUCGGUCUUUAGCUGUGAGAAUUUCUGCAUGCAGAUGAUCCAGGUCACAGCAAAAAUAUUUUAUUUAUUUCAAAUAAAACCCACUAAACUAUUUUCCCAUUUCAGAUAAUAGAAUUCUGUGAAUAAUAUUAUUGCUUUGUACUGUACAUCUAGUAUUUAAAAUAGCUUAAUCUUAUCUAGCACUAUUCCUAAUUUGUAAAUCUAUGUUCAUUGAUUUCCAUAUCCAUGGGUAGUGUUCACUACACAUAGUCAAAAUCUCACCAUAAGUACAGAGAUGGCUUUGGAUUGUUUUCCAGAAUCUGAGUCCUACAUUUGUAUAACAUUGUAGAAGUAGUUUUCAUUUACAGUAUAUGAAUGUAUUAUUCUUCCCUCUGCUUCAAAACCAUGCUUCAUAUUCUGCAAGCAGACUUGUAAUCUGCAGUGAACACAACGAAAUCGAUGGGAUUCAAUACAGGAAUCAGACACCACCUGAAUACAGUACCUUGCAAGGCUGAGGUCUCUUUUUGCUCAGCAGAAAUAAAUAUGUUUUGCUAGUGUUUCACAAUAUUUUGGGAUUAAAAGAUCUAAUUUUUGUCAUAAUCCUUGUUUCGCUUAUUGCUUUUUAUGUAUAAAAUAUUCUAGAAGCUAUGUUGAAACUUGAGAAAAUUUAUGUCCAUACAAAUGUCAGGAUUAUGUAUGUGAGUUUUACAUACCUACAUCGGGUAUAACUUUGAUAAGAAAAAGAAAUGUGUAUCAAAUAUUUUUGUAAUAAAAACUGUAUAGAUUUUUGAAAGAAUACUUAAACUUCACAAAUGUUAUAGGGCCCACUUGUCUCUGGGGCAUGUCCUCUCUUAAUUUCAGGAAUAAAUGCUGAUAACUAAGGUUUCUUUAGCCAAUAAUAGCAAAGAUAUAACUGACAGCACAAAGACAGUUGCCUUUUUUCCUAAAAGAAGCCCUGUUUUCCUCACAUUUAGUACAAUGGUAUUAUUCCUAGCAUGAAGAAAUCAGCAAUGGACCAAAAUAUAAAUACGGGCUACAAAUAUAAGAGUAUUUCCAUCAAUUACAGAUCUAAGAUUGAAACUAAAAAUGUUUUUUGUUUUCUUACAACUGUUGCUUUUACAGUCUAUUAUAUUUACACAUUUUUCCUGUAUACCCAGUGAAAUUUCCUUGCUGUUUUUAACUUCAGCUAUUUCUUUACAUUUUAUAGCAUAGGUAGCUAAACCACUCAUUUCCUCCUGAAAACAGUAAGAAAGUGUUAGGGAUCAGCAGAGAUGCAUUUUCUUUAUGUGUCUCUCACCACAAUUUAACUGUGCUAACACAUCAUAGACUUUUCCAAAGAAAACAGAAAGCGUUAGGCAUUCUCAAAGGGUAGGUGACUGGAUAGAUUCUGGUGUAUGGACUCAAAUCUUUUACAAUAUGUGGCAUAAAGAAAAAAAUGGUAACCAAACUGGAACAUGCUGGUCCCCACCUGCAAAUACUGCAUAGUUUGUACUACCUCAGCAUUCUUUUUUCUUCCAUCCUAAAUGAAUGCCAUGACUGGUUCUGCAAGUCAGCCCACAAACACUGGUAGGGCUGGGCGAGGGAGCGACCCACUGCCUGCUUGGGGCAAGAAGAGAGGCAAGGACGUGUCUCUGAAGGUCUGCUUCCACUUCUUGCCAAGGUUUGAUGCACUGAUGAGAUUUAAGAAAAAUGCUGAAAGAUUUAGACUGCAAUUCUGAAACCGUUUGAAGUAUUUUUGUAUAGAAAUUGACUUUCUUAAUGCUAUUUGUCUACUUUUUCUCCAAACAUCACAAAA